rnacentral:rRNA from 1 species
UUGACCUCGGUUCAGGUAGGGAUACCCGCUGUACUUAAGCAUAUCAAUAAGCGGAGGA